GGAGGCGUGCCUGAGUGGUUGAAAGGGGCAUUCUCGAAAAAUGUUGUUCCGGCAACGGAACCGAAGGUUCGAAUCCUUCCGCCUCCG
rnacentral:tRNA from 1 species